AGAGUUUGAUCCUGGCUCAGGAUGAACGCUAGCGGCAGGCUUAACACAUGCAAGUCGAGGGGUAACAGGGAGCUUGCUCCGCUGACGACCGGCGCACGGGUGCGUAACGCGUAUACAAUCUACCUUGUACUGGGGUAUAGCCUUUAGAAAUGAAGAUUAACCCCCCAUAGUCUCUUAGAGUGGCAUCACUUCUAGAGUAAAGGUUACGGUAUAAGAUGAGUAUGCGUUCUAUUAGUUUGUUGGUGUGGUAACGGCACACCAAGACUACGAUAGAUAGGGGCCCUGAGAGGGGGAUCCCCCACACUGGUACUGAGACACGGACCAGACUCCUACGGGAGGCAGCAGUGAGGAAUAUUGGACAAUGGAGGCAACUCUGAUCCAGCCAUGCCGCGUGCAGGAAGACUGCCCUAUGGGUUGUAAACUGCUUUUAUACAGGAAGAAACACUCGUACGUGUACGAGCUUGACGGUACUGUAAGAAUAAGGACCGGCUAACUCCGUGCCAGCAGCCGCGGUAAUACGGAGGGUCCGAGCGUUAAUCGGAAUUACUGGGCGUAAAGCGCACGCAGGCGGUUUGUUAAGCUAGAUGUGAAAGCCCCGGGCUCAACCUGGGACGGUCAUUUAGAACUGGCAGACUAGAGUCUUGGAGAGGGGAGUGGAAUUCCAGGUGUAGCGGUGAAAUGCGUAGAUAUCUGGAGGAACAUCAGUGGCGAAGGCGACUCCCUGGCCAAAGACUGACGCUCAUGUGCGAAAGUGUGGGUAGCGAACAGGAUUAGAUACCCUGGUAGUCCACACCGUAAACGCUGUCUACUAGCUGUUUGUGGCUUUAAGCCGUGAGUAGCGAAGCUAACGCGAUAAGUAGACCGCCUGGGGAGUACGGCCGCAAGGUUAAAACUCAAAU
rnacentral:rRNA from 1 species